UACGUAGGGUCCGAGCGUUGUCCGGAGUUACUGGGCGUAAAGCGCGCGCAGGCGGCGGUGCUGGCCCGGCGUGAAAGCCCCCGGCUCAACUGGGGAGAGUCACGCGAUACUGAUCGACUGGAAGGCAGGAGAGGGUAGUGGAAUUCCCGGUGUAGUGGUGAAAUGCGUAGAUAUCGGGAGGAACACCAGUGGCGAAGGCGACUACCUGGCCUGUUCUUGACGCUGAGGCGCGAAAGCUAGGGGAGCAAACGGG
rnacentral:rRNA from 1 species